UACGGGGGGAGCAAGCGUUGUUCGGAUUUACUGGGCGUAAAGGGCGCGUAGGCUGCCUCCGCAAGUCAGUUGUGAAAUCUCCGAGCUUAACUCGGAAAGGUCAACUGAUACUGCGGGGCUAGAGUGCGGAAGGGGCAACUGGAAUUCUUGGUGUAGCGGUGAAAUGCGUAGAUAUCAAGAGGAACACCUGCGGCGAAGGCGGGUUGCUGGGCCGACACUGACGCUGAGGCGCGAAAGCUAGGGGAGCGAACGGG
rnacentral:rRNA from 1 species